UCAACUCUCACCUGCUCACCCUCACCGAACUCUCACCUGCUCACCCUCCAUUCUUUUCUCCAAAAAUAGGAUUUUAAUUUAAAUCGUGGCAUCUCUUAAAAUUUCUCUGUGAAACCCUAGAUAUCACAAAGGACCUUUAUGCCGCCACAACCGAACACCAUGGAAGUCGAUAAACACGUUCUCAAAAACUUUCACAUCACAGCCCUAAAACGCAUUUUCCUUCAAUCUUCUUUUGAUCGGUGGGAUUUUCUAUAAAGGGAAAAGAAGCAUGAGGUUGACCCAUGAACGACUUUGAAGGAUCUCAUUCUCACAAGGCCUCCAUGUCGGCGUCCACCACAAAUUAAUCAUUGUCAUCGUCAUUUGCAUUUCUCAAUGGACUCCUCCUGCAUGACAAAUAACCAGAAGUCUAGAACAUGACAGAAUCUGACUCUACACAUGCUGCUAGAAGGAACAUGCAUGUAGAACCUGAAAGAACACUAAUUGAUGCACAGACGGAUGAGUUUGAGAACAUUCUACAUUCUUUAACAUUAGAGAGAAGUCAGAUAAAGGUGAUUACGUGGUUUUCUUUGGAUAACACCGAUGCAGCUAGCGAGUGUGAAGUUGGCGUGGGAGACUAAGGAUUGUUUCAUUUCAAGUUUUAUGUUUUAUAGAAACAUGGAGUGAUGGUAAGCCAAACUUUUAAUACAACCAUCGUUAGAGAAAGAAUUGCAUAACUUCUUGAUGUUGCUAAAUAUUACUUAGAUCAGGUAUGUUGCUGCCAUUUCAUAUUUUUUUUUCUUCUCUACAAGUAUUUGAUAUGGUUUUGUCUUGUAUAUUUUACUUGUGGAUAUGAGCUAUUAAUAUUAUUGAUAUUACAACUAAAAAGUGGCCAUUUAUUAUUAAUUCUCAAUGAACAAACUUCUUUUGAACAGACUUUGAUUUUGUACUGGCUUGUUCUAUCAUGAUCGCAGCCCAUUUAAUUAAUUUGGAAAGUUAAGUAAAAUUUACAAUAUAUGAUGGCAACCCAUUUAAUUAAUUUGGAAAGUUUUAGUUUUAUUACAUAAUACCAUGUGUAUAUGAAUUUAGAGAUCAAGUGUCUCUCAUGAGUCAUGAAGCUUUAGCAUAGUGUCAAAAUAUUUAGCAUGUGCCAUGUCCAUGCAAAUUAUAAAAAGUUUCAUGAAAUUUUAGCAUAGUGUCAGAAUAUUUGCUUGAAUAUUUAGCACGUCAAGUGACUCUCUCAUAAAACUUAGUGAUCAAGUGACUCUCUCAUGAAGCUUUAAUAUAGUUUUAUUACAUGAUAUUAUUUGUAUAUGAAUUUAGUAAUCAAGUGACUCUCUAAUAUUAUUCUAUAAUUUGACACAGUGAGGCAGAAUUUGGUAUGUCUUGGUGUGCUGGUUUGGAGGCUCAUUCUAUAAUUCUUAUUUUUGGCUUUCUUGUUUCAAGUUGAGGUAAUUCCUAAACAGCCAAGUGACUGAUUUGGUUCCACCAAGGUUUUUCGUGUGUAUUUCAGUUUUGGUGGCUCUUAGCACUGGGUGUCUCAAUACAAUAAGCAUGUAAACUGAUUCGGUUCUAACAAGGUUUUUCGUGUGUAUUUCAAUUUUGGUGGCUCUUGGUACUGUGUGUGUAGAGAGCAUGGUGCAUGUACACAUUGGCGUCGUAGGAUUCCUACAAUUAAAGAAAAUGUUUGCAGGUGUUAUGCUGUGUUUUUUCUUUAAAUUUUCUAGUAGCUUGUAAAGAAUAACUUAUGGUUCUCGACCAUGAUUGAUUCUUGUAAAUAAUAGAAAUAAAUGUAAUUAAAAUUUUAAUUGACACAAAUUGAUUUUACUAUGUAUUUUUUUGUUAUUUGGGCUAUUAUAUUUGUAUUUUAGAAUAAUAGAUUAUUAUUUUUGCAACGAUAUUCAGAUUAUUAAAAAACUGCAAGAGAAUUUAAUAGCGCUUUUCUGGAAAGUGCUAUUAAAGUUAAGAUGUAAAAUAUAGGCAAUGAUAGCGCUUUU